rnacentral:rRNA from 1 species
UACGUAGGGGGCAAGCGUUGUCCGGAUUUAUUGGGCGUAAAGAGCGUGUAGGCGGCCAUACACGUCCGUUGUGAAAACUGGAGGCUUAACCUCCAGACGUCGAUGGAAACCGUAUGGCUAGAGUCCGGAAGAGGAGAGUGGAAUUCCUGGUGUAGCGGUGAAAUGCGCAGAUAUCAGGAAGAACACCCGUGGCGAAGGCGGCUCUCUGGGACGGUACUGACGCUGAGACGCGAAAGCGUGGGGAGCGAACAGG